rnacentral:rRNA from 1 species
UGGCUCAGAUUGAACGCUAGCGGCAUGCUUAACACAUGCAAGUCGAACGGUAACAGCAGAGCUUGCUCUGGCUGACGAGUGGCGGACGGGUGAGUAAUGCUUAGGAAUCUGCCCAGUAGCGGGGGACAACAUGGGGAAAACCAUGCUCGCAUACGCCCUACGGGGGAAAGCAGGGGAUCUUCGGACCUUGCACUAUUGGAUGAGCCUAAGUCAGAUUAGCUUGUUGGUGGGGUAAAAGCCUACCAAGGCGACGAUCUGUAGCUGGUCUGAGAGGACGAUCAGCCACACUGGAACUGAGACACGGUCCAGACUCCUACGGGAGGCAGCAGUGGGGAAUAUUGCACAAUGGGGGAAACCCUGAUGCAGCAAUGCCGCGUGUGUGAAGAAGGCCUCCGGGUUGUAAAGCACUUUCAAGUUGUGAGGAAAACAUAAUGGUUAAUACCCAUUAGAUGUGACGUUAGCAACAGAAGAAGGACCGGCUAACUCCGUGCCAGCAGCCGCGGUAAUACGGAGGGUCCGAGCGUUAAUCGGAAUUACUGGGCGUAAAGCGCACGCAGGCGGUUUGUUAAGCUAGAUGUGAAAGCCCCGGGCUCAACCUGGGAAUAGCAUUUAGAACUGGCAGGCUAGAGUCUUGGAGAGGGGAGUGGAAUUUCUGGUGUAGCGGUGAAAUGCGUAGAUAUCAGAAGGAACAUCAGUGGCGAAGGCGACUCCCUGGCCAAAGACUGACGCUCAUGUGCGAAAGUGUGGCUAGCGCGCUGUCUACUAGCUGUUUGUGGAUUUAAUCCGUGAGUAGCGAAGCUAACGCGAUAAGUAGACCGCCUGGGGAGUACGGCCGCAAGGUUAAAACUCAAAUGAAUUGACGGGGGCCCGCACAAGCGGUGGAGCAUGUGGUUUAAUUCGAUACAACGCGAAGAACCUUACCUACUCUUGACAUACUAGAAACUUUUCAGAGAUGAAUUGGUGCCUUCGGGAAUCUAGAUACAGGUGCUGCAUGGCUGUCGUCAGCUCGUGUCGUGAGAUGUUGGGUUAAGUCCCGCAACGAGCGCAACCCUUGUCCUUAGUUGCCAGCCUUAAGUUGGGCACUCUAUGGAGACUGCCGGUGACAAACCGGAGGAAGGUGGGGACGACGUCAAGUCAUCAUGGCCCUUACGAGUAGGGCUACACACGUGCUACAAUGGCGAGGACAGAGGGAAGCGAACCUGCGAGGGUAAGCGGAUCCAUUAAAGCUCGUCGUAGUCCGGAUUGGAGUCUGCAACUCGACUCCAUGAAGUCGGAAUCGCUAGUAUUCGCAAAUCAGAAUGUUGCGGUGAAUACGUUCCCGGGCCUUGUACACACCGCCCGUCACACCAUGGGAGUGGGAUGCAAAAGAAUUAGG